rnacentral:lncRNA from 1 species
AUGAACAACCACAACCACACCAAUCACAUCAUCAACCAUAACAACCAUAAUAACCACAUCAUCAACCACAUCAUCAACCAUAACAACCAUAAUAACCACAUCAUCAACCACAUCAUCAACUACAACAACCACAUCAUCAAUUACAUCAUCAACCACAACAACCACAUCAUCAACCACAAUAACCACCUCAUCAACCACAUCAUCAACCACAAUAACCACAUCAUCAACCACAAUAACCACCUCAUCAACCACAUCAUCAAUUACAUCAUCAACCACAUCAUCAACCACAAUAACCACAUCAUCAACCACAUCAUCAACCACAAUAACCACAUCAUCAACCACAAUAACCACCUCAUCAACCACAUCAUCAACCAUAACAACCAUAAUAACCACAUCAUCAACCACAUCAUCAACCACAUCAUCAAACACAUCGUCAACCACAAUAACCACAUCAUCAGCCACAAUAACCACAUCAUCAACCACAUCAUCAGCCACAAUAACCACAUCAUCAACCAUAACAACCACAUCAUCAACCACAAUAACCACAUCAUCAACCAUAACAACCAUAAUAACCACAUCAUCAACCACAAUAACCACAUCAUCAACCACAAUAACCACAUCAUCAACCACAUCAUCAACCACAUCAUCAACCACAAUAACCACAUCAUCAACCAUAACAACCACAUCAUCAACCACAAUAACCACAUCAUCAACCAUAACAACCAUAAUAACCACAUCAUCAACCACAAUAACCACAUCAUCAACCACAUCAUCAACCACAUCAUCAUCCACAAUAACCACAUCAUCAACCACAUCAUCAACCACAAUAACCACAUCAUCAACCACAUCAUCAACCACAAUAACCACAUCAUCAACCACAUCAUCAUCCACAAUAACCACAUCAUCAACCACAACAACCACAUCAUCAACCACAACAACCAUAUCAUCAACCACAAUAACCACAUCAUCAACCACAUCAUCAUCCACAAUAACCACAUCAUCAACCACAACAACCACAUCAUCAACCACAAUAACCACAUCAUCAACCACAUCAUCAUCCACAAUAACCACAUCAUCAACCACAACAACCACAUCAUCAACCACACCAACCACAAAAAACACAUCAUCAACAAUGGCAACCACAACCAAAAAGUAAUCAACCACAAAAAAGAACAACUACAACAACACCAACAACAUUAUCAACAGUAUCAUCAACCACCACACAGCAGCCACAUCACUCACUGUUUAAAUAAGGGUUUAUUUCUUCCUGUCUUCUCAGGUAGCAGACGACUCCGGAUCAGUUUCCUUUUCUGUGGAUCUUUGGAUUUCUGA